ACCAUCACCACACAUAUUUUUGCAACUCUUUUGAAAAAAUAUGUCAAACUCUUCCCUUGGUUUUUAUCAAGUGUAAGGAACUUAGGAGCUCCCUUGGUCCAAAACGAGGAGGACAAGAUUUAAGGAACAUAAAAAGCAGAAUCUUUUAAGUGUUCAUGGAUUCCUCAUUGAGAGUUGAUAUGUUUUACUUGCAGGCGACAUUAAUGGCUUCUUUUUUUUGGUUUGAUUGUAGUUGUUACAUUAAAUCGAAACUGUUUAAGACUUUAAGUGAUCAUAUCUACGAGUAUAUACAAUAGUGAAGUACAGGUUUGUCAAUGUGUAAGACUACCAAGAGGCAAGAGCAAGAGGUGUGUAUGUAUGCGGGAGAUUAGUCCAAUACUGUCUAUAAAAUUCAAUCACCCGGUCAAAACCUAAUUAACAAAAUAACACAAGAUGAAACUCCAAAUUAGACUUUUGAUUCCAAAGUUUCAUUCCAACUACUAAUAUAUUGUAAUGACAUGAAGACAUUGCCGUUUGUUGAACGAGUUGUCUUCUUACUAAAUUUGAUAUUUUCCAA